UCCGCGGUGAGGUGAGCACGAGGUGGGCGGGGCAUAAGGGUGAUUGACGUUUAGGAAGCCAAUUAAAAUCCACCGAAUUGUGAUAUGUAGCCUAUCGAGAAACGGCAUUUUAAAACACAACAGAGAUCAUUGUGUAAUUCAGGUACGCAUAGGGUUGCCUUAACGACAAAGGUUUUAGUUCAGUGCCAACACCCAUCUACAAUAGAAAGGGAAUCCUCCCUUCAGUGGAAUGUACCAAACCAGUGAACCUGACACAGGUUGAAAUCGCUUUCCAGGGGGAAGGCGGGGAUGUCUCUUGGUUGAAAACUCUGCAAAGCAGGGAGGGAUCAUAUAUCUUCUGCAUCCUGUGCACUUAUAUG